GUUAGAUCCUACUAUAGACUAGCAUAGUGUUUUCCUUUUUUCUCUUGUUUGGUCAAAUAGGUGAAAGCAUUUAGAUUUCCUGAAAUUAUUUUCUGUUUAGGGAUUAUCUUUAAGAUACCGAAUCGGAUACUUCAUGGAGACUCUUCACCUUGUUGUGUGUUGGUCCCUACCCUUAGCUCUGGGAAAAAAUUUGCCCUAGUGGUAGAAACGUUAGACUUUCUGGAUCCAGAGCUCAUGGGUUUUGCCUUCAGUCAGUUCUGCUUUUGGAUUUGGUCCUGGAUGCCCUAGCUGGGCUUUGCUGCUGAUCUUUGGUUGCUGUGGUUAGGUUUCCACCAUGAGUGGCUAGAUCCCCAGAUGCUGUCUGUCUGAUUGAUUGAAGCUCUGCUUAUUGCCUGCCAUCAGAGUCACCUGAUGAUAAACUCUGUUCACCUGCAAGGCUAUCCACCUGUUGUCUACUUCUAGACCUAUCUAACGCUUAACAUCUGUCUGACUGAACUUCCUUCCUUAUCCAGCCAGUCUUCCUUUAGUUUGCUGUGAGGAUUUUCCUAACAGCCUCUCCAUCUGUCUGAUCUGGCUCCAGUGGGACAGUCUAACAUCUGUAUUUGGUCUCCUCCAGAUUGGCCAUUUGUGUUACUGACAAAAUCCCUGGUCCCAAAGCAAAAGAGAAUGGCGUAUAGUGGAAAUAUGUGAGAAGCAGAAGGCGAAGAGUAUGUAAAGUGUAUAUAUUUGUCAACAAUUGGAUCAAUUAAGGGGAGAAAAAGCCCCAAAUGCAGUCAUAAGCAAGAGCAACACAGCAGGUGACUCUCCGGGUUUAUUGCUUUGGGGUACUACGAGCCUGCCUUUGGACUGAUAGAAUUAUCUCAGUGUAGCUUCAGAGUGCACUAGUUGUUCCCUGAAGCGGGGAGCCAUAUAUACCAGAAGUCACCAUCAGAAGGGGAUGCAUCGUGAAGCGUUUUUCCUGUGUGUGUGUGUCUGUUGGGGGUGGUUAUUAUCUGGUUGUGUGUCCUGUGGAAGCUGUCUGUAAGAGUGACAGUUGGGCCACACACCAAAGUGUGUGGGCCAGAUCUGAGGGUUAAUCCCCAAGGACCUGGAAAAAAAAAAAACCCAACUUUUCAAAGUUUGAAGCAGAAACAGCUUGUGGAUUCUCAACUUGUGUGCCCAUGUGGCAGCACUGUGCCACAUGCGGCUAUUGAACACUUCACAUGGAGCUAGUGUGACUAAAACCUGCAUUUUUAAUUCUAUUUAACUUUAAUUAAGAUAAAUUUUAAAACCGACCCUGGAUUCAGUGAUUGGAAAACUUUUAAGCAUGCUUGGAACAACUUUGGAUUUACUUUUUCGGCUAUGCAGUCUAUAAUAUAAAAAUGCAAAUCAAAUAUUUCCAAUAAAAAGUUUCACCUUGAGAUGUGCUGAAAGUGUUAAAUACAAGCCA
rnacentral:lncRNA from 1 species